rnacentral:rRNA from 1 species
AACGCGAAGAACCUUACCCAGGCUUGACAUCCAGAGGAAGAUUGCAGAAACGUAAUCGCCGGGGCAACUCGGCUUUUGGACAGGUGCUGCAUGGUUGUCGUCAGCUCGUGCCGUGAGGUGUUAGGUUAAGUCCUGCAACGAGCGCAACCCUCGUCCUAUGUUGCCAGCGGGUAAUGCCGGGGACUCAUAGGAGACUGCCGGGGUCAACUCGGAGGAAGGUGGGGAUGACGUCAAGUCCUCAUGCCCCUUAUGUCUUGGGAACUGCAAACAUGCUACAAUGGCCGGUACAAAGGGUUGCGAGACCGCAAGGUGGAGCGAAUCCCAAAAAGCCGGUCUCAGUUCGGAUUGGGGUCUGCAACUCGACCCCAUGAAGUCGGAGUCGCUAGUAAUCGCAGAUCAGCAACGCUGCGGUGAAUACGUUCCCGGGCCUUGUACACACCGGAGUGC